GUGGGGAAUUUUGGACAAUGGGCGAAAGCCUGAUCCAGCCAUGCCGCGUGCAGGAUGAAGGCCUUCGGGUUGUAAACUGCUUUUGUACGGAACGAAAAGACUCCUUCUAAUAAAGGGGGUCCAUGACGGUACCGUAAGAAUAAGCACCGGCUAACUACGUGCCAGCAGCCGCGGUAAUACGUAGGGUGCAAGCGUUAAUCGGAAUUACUGGGCGUAAAGCGUGCGCAGGCGGUUAUAUAAGACAGAUGUGAAAUACCCGGGCUCAACCUGGGAACUGCAUUUGUGACUGUAUAGCUAGAGUACGGUAGAGGGGGAUGGAAUUCCGCGUGUAGCAGUGAAAUGCGUAGAUAUGCGGAGGAACACCGAUGGCGAAGGCAAUCCCCUGGACCUGUACUGACGCUCAUGCACGAAAGCGUGGGGAGCAAACAGGAUUAGAUACCCGGGUAGUCC
rnacentral:rRNA from 1 species